UCCCUGGUGGCUCAGACAGUAAAGCAUCUGUCAACGAUGCAGGAGACCCAGGUUCGAUUCCUGGGUGGGGAA
rnacentral:tRNA from 1 species